AAAUUUUUGCAGGGCUCCGUAAUUGAAUGGCUAAGAUCAAGUGUAGUAUCUGUUCUUAUCAGCUUAACAUCUGGUACAUCACCUAUAUGGUGGUUCAUAUGUUAAACUAUUUUUUUCAAAUUUGGUGGAGAAUAGGAGCUUGCUCCUGCUCCACCGUGGGUUGGCCUGGAGUUGCACUAGGUACAUAUAAAUAUUU